rnacentral:rRNA from 1 species
UAGGAAGGGGGCUAGCGUUGUUCGGAAUUACUGGGCGUAAAGCGCACGUAGGCGGGUCGUUAAGUCAGGGGUGAAAUCCCAGAGCUCAACUCUGGAACUGCCUUUGAUACUGGCGACCUAGAGUCCGGAAGAGGUUAGUGGAAUUCCCAGUGUAGAGGUGAAAUUCGUAGAUAUUGGGAAGAACACCAGUGGCGAAGGCGGCUAACUGGUCCGGUACUGACGCUGAGGUGCGAAAGCGUGGGGAGCAAACAGG